UACGAAGGGGGCUAGCGUUGCUCGGAAUCACUGGGCGUAAAGGGUGCGUAGGCGGGUCUUUAAGUCAGGGGUGAAAUCCUGGAGCUCAACUCCAGAACUGCCUUUGAUACUGAGGAUCUUGAGUUCGGGAGAGGUGAGUGGAACUGCGAGUGUAGAGGUGAAAUUCGAUAGAUAUUCGCAAGAACACCAGUGGCGAAGGCGGCUCACUGGCCCGGUACUGACGCUGAGGUGCGAAAGCGUGGGGAGCAAACAGGG
rnacentral:rRNA from 1 species